GAACCCAUCCGUUGGUCGGGCCUCACGGUCCGCACUGGUGUGAUGGAUUCUUACCUUCUGAAUAACCAGCAUGCUAUUAAGUUAGUGCGUUGGGGAAGCAGAUCUAUUACCUUGAAAAAAUUAGAGUGCUUAAAGCGAGCUAGUGCUUGAAUAGAUUAGCAUGGAAUAAUAAAAUAGGACGGCAUGGUUCUGUUUUGUUGGUUUCUAGGAUCACCGUA
rnacentral:rRNA from 1 species